AAGUCGUAACAAGGUUUCCGUAGGUGAACCUGCGGAAGGAUCAUUAAGGAAUGUUGGUGGUGGUCUCGGUAAAAAUUUGCCGUCGACUAUUAUGCCACUCAACUACUUUCUAUGUAUAUUGUUUGUUGAGGCUGUGACGCACACCUCAAGGUAUUGGAUGUGCGAGCUCUGCUUUUACACCCAAUGCCGUGCGUCUUUGCAUUUACAUUUUAACACUUUAACAUACUUUAUUAUAAUCAAUAUAAUUGAUACAACUUUUAACAAUGGAUCUCUUGGCUCUC
rnacentral:misc_RNA from 1 species